AUGCAGGAUUUUCUUCCCACUAAACAAAAAAAAAACCCGGUUCCUUCUGCUUUUCCCACUACAAAACGGCACCCGCCUUCCACCUCGACAAGGAUUAAAUCAGCUGCUGCUGCAGCUGCAGACCUUCAACACCCCCCGAAAGGAGCUCAGGGUGGAGAGCAGACAUCAGGCAUGUGCGCUCUGGGAAAGACUGGUGGGACAGGUCUUCACAUAGAUAUUUUCAGGAGCCAAUGUUAUGAAGCCAGCUCUUGCAUCUUGUCAUAUCUGGAAAGCACUAAAUCUCUUCAUGGGGAGAUGACAUCAACUCCUGGUGACUAACAGAAGACUCUUUGCAAAGAGAAAUGUUUGCGUGAACUCCCGCUUCACCAGAAUCACAUCGACACUGACCAUCACCUCUUUGGAGCAACUUCUCAGAGCCAUCUGAGGGGCUCUCUCCCAGGAUGCAUUCCUCAUUUAGGCCCCAAAUAACACGUAACUCCAAAGUCUCAGGUUGUGCAAUCUUUCCUAAGUCGACGCUUUGUCCUGGGAUGUUUCUGGAGCCUAGCCCAAAUCUGUAGGCAAGACUAACAUGAACACAAUAGAAACCUCUUAUGUCCCCUGACCAGAUAAUCCCGAAUACGUCAUCUGCAGAUCCUUCAAUUAAUAACAUUGGCAGAGACCGUGUCUCUAAACGAGGUCACUGUCACGGAUUCUGGAUAUAAACAUAUGCACACGUUUUGGGGGAUGCCCACUGAAAACAGGACAUCCUUUGGCGGUUGCUGUUGUUCAGCUACUCAGUCGUGUUCAAUUCUUUGCGACCCCGUGGACUGCAGCACGCCAGGCCUCCCUGUCCAUCACCAACUCCCAGAGCUUAUUGAAACUCAUAUCCCUUGAGUCAGUGAUGCCAUCCAACCAUCUCAUCCUUUGUCACCCCCAUCUCCUCCUGCCUUCAAUCUUUCCAGCAUCAGGGUCUUUUCCAAUGAGUCAGCUCUUCGCAUCAGGUGGCCAGAGUAUUGGAGUUUCAGCUUCCGCAUCAGUCCUUCCAGUGAAUAUUCAGGACUGAUUCCCUUUAGGAUGGAAUGGUUGGCUCUCCUUGCUGUCCAAGGCACUCUCACUAAAACAGUAUGAAGAUUCCUUUAAAAACUAGGAAUAAAACUGGCAUAUGACCCAGCAAUCCCACUCACUGCUGGGCAUACACACCGAGGAAACCAGAAUUGAAAGAGACACGUGUACCCCAAUGUUCAUCGCAGCACUGUUUAUAAUAGCCAGGACAUGGAAGCAACCUAGAUGUCCAUCAGCAGAUGAAUGAAUAAGAAAGCUGUGGUACAUAUACAUGAUGGAGUAUUACUCAGCCAUUAAAAAGAACGCAUUUGAAUCAGCCCUAAUGAGGUGGAUGAAACUGGAGCCUAUUAUACAGAGUGAAGAAAGUCAGAAAGAAAAACACCAAUACAGUAUACUAACACAUAUAUAUGGAAUUUAGAAAGAUGGUAACAAUAAGCCUGUAUGCGAGACAGCAAAAGAGACACAGAUAUAUAGAACAGUUUUUGGACUCUGUGGGAGAGGGCGAGGUUGGGAUGAUUUGGGGGAAGAGCAUUGACACAUGUGUGUUACCAUAGGCAAAAGACCUGACCAGGGCAAGUCCGACGUCACGAUGCAGGGCACCCAAAGCCGGAGCUCUGUGAUGCGUGCAGGGACAGGGUGGGGAGGGAGCUGGGAAGGGAGUCAAGAAUGAAGGGGACACGUGUACCUAUGACCGGUUCAUGCUGACACAUGGCGAAAGUCAUCCCAAUAUUGUAAACUAAUUAUAUCCCUUGAGUCAGUGAUGCCAUCCAACCAUCUCAUCCUUUGUCACCCCAUCUCCUCCUGCCUUCAAUCUUUCCAGCAUCAGGGUCUUUUCCAAUGAGUCAGCUCUUAGCAUCAGGUGGCCAGAGUAUUGGAGCUUCAGCUUCAGCAUCCGUCCUUCAAUGAAUGUUCAGAACUGAUUUCCUUUAGGAUGGACUGGUUGGAUCUCCUUGCUCUUUGCAUCAGGUGGCCAGAGUAU
rnacentral:lncRNA from 1 species